AAGUCGUAACAAGGUAACCGUAGGUGAACCUGCGGUUGGAUCAUUAAUAAAUUUAAUACGAAAAAUUGUUCCUUAUAGCCCACUUGUGGGUUAUUUGGGCUUUUUUUUAACACCAUGUGAACUGUUUAUUGUAUUUGGUGUGGUUAAAACAAAGGUUUAAUGCUUUUGGCAGUAAAAUGCACCCACCAAUGUUAAACUAUUUUAUCUGUCUUAUUUUUUGUAUUAUUUUUUAAUAAUAUUUUUAAACAAAAAACAACUUUUGGCAACGGAUCUCUAGGCUCUG
rnacentral:misc_RNA from 1 species